rnacentral:rRNA from 1 species
AGCAGCCACCAUUUAAAAAGUGCGUAACAGCUUACUGGUCGAGCAAUUUUGCGCCGAUAAUGAACGGGAGUAAGUUUUACACCGAAGCAGUGGGAUCCACUUUGUGGAUCGGUAGGAGAGCGCUGUACGUCAGAUACAAGUCGCACCGAAAGGAGCGAUGGUGGGGCGUACAGGUGAUUAUGCCGGAAUGAGUAACGAUAAAGCAGGUGAGAAUCCUGCUCGCCGAAAGCCUAAGGUUUCCUGGGGAAGGUAAAUCCGCCCAGGGUUAGCCGGUUCCUUAGUCGAGGCCGAAAGGCGUAGACGAUGGAUAGCAGGUCAACAUUCCUGCGCCACAUGCCGGACUGAUGGAGGGACGGCGUCUGAAAGGUGAGGGGACGGAUAGAAAUGUCCCUCGCCUGUGUGGAGGGUAGCUGUAGGCAAAUCCGCAGCGACAUCCUGAAGCAUGGGACAAAGACGUUUAUGUUUCGAUAGUCAUCAGAAGGACGUCCAAGAAAAGCUUCUAGGGUUGAUGGCAUGUGACCGUACUAAAACUGACACAGGUAGGCGGGACGAGAAGUCCUAGGCGCUCGGGAGAACACUGGUUAAGGAACUCUGCAAAAUGGCCCCGUAAGUUCGCGAUAAGGGGUGCCCUCUUUGGUUUACGCUGAGGAGGGUCACAGUAAAUCGGCAUCAGCGACUGUUUAUCAAAAACACAGGACUCUGCUAACUCGCAAGAGGAUGUAUAGAGUCUGACGCCUGCCCGGUGCUGGUAGGUUAAGGAAGAGGGUUAGCCGUAAGGCAAAGCUCGCGACCGAAGCCCCAGUAAACGGCGGCCGUAACUAUGACGGUCCUAAGGUAGCGAAGUUCCUUGUCGGGUAAGUUCCGACCUGCAUGAAAGGCGUAACGACUGAUGCACUGUCUCAACCAGUGACCCGGUGAAAUUGUAGCCGUGGUGAAGAUGCCACGUACCCGCAGUAUGACGGAAAGACCCCGUGAACCUUUACUGUAGGCUGAUAUUGGUCUUGGACGUGUUCUGUGUAGGAUAGGUGGGAGGCUUUGAAGCAGUGACGCUAGUCAUUGUGGAGCCAACGUUGAAAUACCACCCUGGAUUCGUUUGAGUUCUAACGCUGAUUCCCGUGAAACCGGGCAGCGGACAGUUUCAGUUGGGCAGUUUGACUGGGGCGGUCUCCUCCCAAAGAGUAACGGAGGAGUUCAAAGGUACCCUCAGCCUGGUUGGCAAUCAGGCAUUGAGCGCAAAGGUAGAAGGGUGCUUGACUGCGAGACUCAUAAGUCGAGCAGAUACGAAAGUAGGACUUAGUGAUCCGGUGGUUCUGAAUGGAAGGGCCAUCGCUCAUCAGAUAAAAGGUACUCCGGGGAUAACAGGCUUAUCGCUUCCGAGCGUCCAUAGCGGCGAAGCGGUUUGGCACCUCGAUGUCGGCUCAUCACAUCCUGGGGGUGGAGAAGCUCCCAAGGGUUUGGCUGUUCGCCAAUGAAAGUGGUACGUGAGCUGGGUUCAGACCGUCGUGAGACAGGUCGGUCCCUAUCUGCUGUGGGCGUACGAAACUUGCGAGGAUUCUUCUUUAGUACGAGAGGAUUUGGAAGGACGUUCCUCUGGUGUACCAGUUGUCGCGCUAGCGGCACGGCUGGAUAGCUAA